UACUCUGAAAGCAUACAUUCAAAAACAUAUUUCUUCCCUAGGAGACAUUACAAGUUGAAGUAAGUGUUGCUACUGCACAUCAGCCACCAAUGACUCAAUUGAUAGUGCAAAUAAUUGCUGAAGAGAUGAUGCACAUGUUUUGAGUUCCUCCCAUGUUUACAUUUGACCAACUUGAAGGAGGGGGACUAGUCUAGUGCUGGAUCACAUACAUGUUUUGAGUUACUCCCAUGUCUACAUUUGACCAACUUGAAGGAGGGGGACUAGUCUAGUGCUGGAUCACAUACAUGUUUUGAGUUACUCCCAUGUCUACAUUUGACCAACUUGAAGGAGGGGGACUAGUCUAGUGGUCGAGCUGGAUCACAUACAUGUUUUGAGUUACUCCCAUGUCUACAUUUGACCAACUUGAAGGAGGGGGACUAGUCUAGUGGUCGAGCUGGAUCACAUACAUGUUUUGAGUUACUCCCAUGUCUACAUUUGACCAACUUGAAGGAGGGGGACUAGUCUAGUGGUCGAGCUGGAUCACAUACAUGUUUUGAGUUACUCCCAUGUCUACAUUUGACCAACUUGAAGGAGGGGGACUAGUCUAGUGGUCGAGCUGGAUCACAUACAUGUUUUGAGUUACUCCCAUGUCUACAUUUGACCAACUUGAAGGAGGGGGACUAGUCUAGUGGUCGAUCACAUACAGCUUCUAUAAGAAUUCACACCCAUUGGAUUCUUUUCACAUUUUGUUGUGUUACAAAGUGGGAUUUGAAACAGUUAUUUUUUUUAGGGGAUUUGAAACAGUUAUUUUUUUUAGGGGAGGUCACAAACUCUACAUAAUGUCAAAGUGAAAGGAAAAGAUGUAAUUGAGCUGAGCCCGAUUUUUUUUUAAACUUUAAAAUGCCAAACAAAAAAACAUUGAUUUAUACAUUUUAACAUAGCAACCAACUCUAUGCACAAUUACUAUUUUUAACAAUUUACACAAUUAUUAUUAUUAUUUUUAAAUUACACAUUUACUGGAAAAACUGUGCAGAUGCAAAGUUUGGUAUGAGAAUUACAGUAAAAUGUCCAAAAGGUUUUAAUCUGUUACAUUUCAUAUCUGCACAGUUCUUCCUGGGUCGUUCCACUUGAUUUGAAUCACCUUUUGAUUUGAACAUAACUUGCCAUACAUAUUUGCCCAUGGUAGAAGUGGUCAGAAAGUUACUUUUUGGAACUGAAUGUCAAAACAUUAUGAAGAUAGGGGUAUUAAAAGUUGACCUAUUUUGACCUCACUACCAUGAGACAGCCAUAUUUUCCUCAUUGGAAAAGAUAAACGGUUGAGUUUGAUAUCAUUGGAAAGCUUACAAACUAUUAUAGAAUUUGUGUGGUGUAUCAAUACACCCAGUCAAUACAAGGAUAAAGGCAUCCUUCUUAACUCAGUUGCCAGAGAGGAAGGAAACUGCUCAAGGAUUUCACCAUGAGGCCAAUGGUGACUUUAAAACAGUUACAGAGUUUAAUGGCUGUGAUAGGAGAAAACUGAGGAUGGAUUAACAACAUUGUAGUUACUCCACAAUACUAAUCUAAUUGACAGAGUGAAAAGAAGGAAGCCUGUACAGAAUAUUCCUAAACAUGCAUCCUGUUUGCAACAAAGGCACUAAAGUAAAACUGCAAAAAAUGUGACAAAGGAAUAACCGUUUUUUCCAGAAUAGAAAGUGUUAGGUUUGGGGCAAAUCAAACCCAACACAUCCCUGAGUACCACUCUCCAUAUUUUCAAGCAUGAUGGUGGCUGCAUCAUGUUACUGGUAUGCUUGUCAUCGACAAGGGCGAGGGAGUUUUUCAGGGGGGAAAAAUGGAAUGGAGCUGAGCACAGGCACAAUCAUAGAGGGAAAACCUGAUUCAGUCCUGCUUUCCACCAGACACUGGGAGAUGAAUUUACCUUUCAGCAAGACAACCUAAAACGCAAGGUCAAAUCUACACUGCAGUCACUUACCAAGAAGACAGUAAACAUUCCUGAGUGGCCUAGUUACAGUUUUGACAUAUAAUUGCUUAGACAUAUAUUGUGAGACUAGAAAAUGGCUGUCUAGCGAUGAUCAACAACCAAAUUGACUGAGCUUGAAUAAUUUUUUGAAGAAUAAUAGGCAAGUAUUGCACCAUUCAGAUGUGCAAACGCUCCUAUAGACUUAGGAUGGCCAACAAAUACUAAUUGUAAUUGUUGCUAAAUUAAUUUGUUUAUAGCAUGUGUUGACUCAGGGGAGUGGGGAAUACUUAUCUAGUCAAGAUAUAGUGUUUUAUUUUUCAAUAAUUCUUAAAAGAUGUUCCAUCACAUACAUAAUAAAAUAUAUAAUCACAAGUUCAUUUACAAAAUAUACCCCAAAACGCAAUUGUGUCAUUCAUUUGGAAUGGAUAACAUUGCUUAGUUCAUCAUCAACAAUAAUUCAUAUAUUUGCCAGUUUUAUGUACAAUUGAUUAACACUUUGCGUGAUGAUCCCUUCCAAGACAGUUUGAAGAAUAUUUCUCCAUAAAUAAUGUAAUGAGAAAUCAUACCACAUAAUGAAAACAAAUCAAAAUGUUACCAGUUCAACUGAAAAAAAAAACAUACUCCAUAUAGUUUUGCAUAUGUUCCAGACAAUUAUGUGUAGCUCGUUGACAAUUUUUAAAUUUUAAAACCAUUUUAAUACCACUUUGUAACACAAAAUGUGAAGAGGGGCGAAUACUUACAAUAGGCACUGGAGGCAGUGGUUGGAUGCACAUUUACGACACCCACUUUCUCUACUGUAUCAUCUAUCUCCCUAUAUACAGUGCAACCCUAAAUCUGUCAAUAAAAAUAAAAUUAAAAUACCUUAAAAAAAAUAUUAUAAUUAUAAUUUGCUACCUGAAGCUUCAAACUUUGAAUGCUGAUGUUGUGCUCUCCCUCUCU